rnacentral:rRNA from 1 species
UACGGGGGGGGGCAAGCGUUGUUCGGAAUUACUGGGCGUAAAGGCUCGUAGGCGGCCAACUAAGUCGGAUGUGAAAUCCCCAGGCUUAACCUGGGAACUGCAUCCGAUACUGGAUGGCUUGAAUCCGGGAGAGGGAUGCAGAAUUCCAGGUGUAGCGGUGAAAUGCGUAGAUAUCUGGAGGAAUACCGGUGGCGAAGGCGGCAUCCUGGACCGGCAUUGACGCUGAUGAGCGAAAGCUAGGGGAGCAAACAGG